GAUGAACGCUGGCGGCGUGCCUAAUACAUGCAAGUCGAGCGAACAGAUAAGGAGCUUGCUCCUUUGACGUUAGCGGCGGACGGGUGAGUUACACGUGGAUAACCUACCUAUAGACUGGGAUAACUUCGGGAAACCGGAGCUAAUACCGGAUAACAUAUUGAACCGCAUGGUUCAAUAGUGAAAGGCGGCUUUGCUGUCACUUAUAGAUGGAUCCGCGCCGUAUUAGCUAGUUGGUAAGGUAACGGCUUACCAAGGCAACGAUACGUAGCCGACCUGAGAGGGUGAACGGCCACACUGGAACUGAGACACGGUCCAGACUCCUACGGGAGGCAGCAGUAGGGAAUCUUCCGCAAUGGGCGAAAGCCUGACGGAGCAACGCCGCGUGAGUGAUGAAGGUCUUCGGAUCGUAAAACUCUGUUAUCAGGGAAGAACAAAUGUGUAAGUAACUGUGCACAUCUUGACGGUACCUGAUCAGAAAGCCACGGCUAACUACGUG
rnacentral:rRNA from 1 species